rnacentral:lncRNA from 1 species
AGAGGUCCUGAGGCUGCCUAAUAGGGCUUGGACGUUAGCUUUCAACUAAACGGUUUAUUUUGUGGUCUGUGAGUUUGCGGGUGCGUUAAAGUCAGAAAAGGCUUUUCUAGUCUCGGCUUCGUGCUGUAGCUUCCAUUUUCUUACAUGUUGGUGGGUGUAUUUUCUUAGCUUUGUUGACUCCUGUGUCCACGAAUGGCUACCCUCCGGAGGAGUUAGCUAGGAAAGAACGCUAAUUCUAGCAGUGAACUAACAGUGUCUUCUGGGUUUUUUGGUUUUGUUUUUUAAAUCGCUAGUAGAUGUUGGGGAGCAUGCGCCUUUAAAACGUUACUUUAAACCUAAAGCCACUCAAGGGGUAUGGGUUGUUUUAAAACGAUGUGCCAUGUGUCCCAGACUGGCUUUGUGUUCACUCUUGUAGCCAAGAAUGACCUUGGAUUUACUGUCCUCUUGCUUCCCCCUCGGAAGUGCUGGGAUUACAAGGCCAGUGGCAUCACUCUGCAGAUAUCUUUCUUAUUAAGUUACCUGUCAAACAAUAUGAAGUUAAUAAUUGGAGGUCAUGACUCUCUAGGCCUUCCAUCCAGAUGGGGUGUAUGGUUUUGAAGGUCUGUGUGGUUUCUGCGGGUUGAGAUUGGGGGAUGGUUGGGGAGAAGCAGAACGCUGUAACUCAGGUUGUCCAGAAACAAAGUGCAGGGAUUAUAGGCUGGUGUGCCGCAUCUUGGUUGAAGUGCUGGAGCAGAGGGCCUUAGGCAUACUAGGCCAACAGUCUAACAAAUGAGUGCAAGAGAAGCU